GACAAAACUGCUCACAGAAUGGAUGCAUGCUAAGGGAACGCCUCUCUAUGGAUGAUCACUGCACCUUUACUCGCAAUAACCCCACAGAGAGGUGGAAGUUAUUGGCAUACUACACUGUCACACUGUUGCAAGGAAUGCUGAGAAACAAGAGUGGAGCAAUGACAAGGGAUAUCUCCUCCCAAUUCCAGGUGUGUUUAAUCGAAAGCGCUGCACAGGACAGCAACUUUCCUGAACUUCGCGUGUCGUCAGAAGCUGCCAGAACAGCAUCCCUCGGUGAAUCAGCCAUCGCCUGCCUGGCUUCAUAAUCCUGCCACUGACGCUGCUCUGCCAUGGACACACGCAGUGCCUGAAAAGUAGAAUGACUGAGGCCACUUUGCACAGCAUGCAUGUACCCACUACUCCUAAGGCAUCUUUAAAGAUGUUCCACCUACCAGAAGGACAGCUGGGUCGUCGUCUUCAAACUCAAGGUCAUAGUUAAUUGCCCUCCUGCUGUUUUCACCUUGGACUACCGGAGUA